GACGAACGCUGGCGGCGUGCUUAACACAUGUAAGUCGAACGGAAAGGCCCUGCUUUUGUGGGGUGCUCGAGUGGCGAACGGGUGAGUAACACGUGAGUAACCUGCCCUUGACUUUGGGAUAACUUCAGGAAACUGGGGCUAAUACCGGAUAGGAGCUCCUGCUGCAUGGUGGGGGUUGGAAAGUUUCGGCGGUUGGGGAUGGACUCGCGGCUUAUCAGCUUGUUGGUGGGGUAGUGGCUUACCAAGGCUUUGACGGGUAGCCGGCCUGAGAGGGUGACCGGCCACAUUGGGACUGAGAUACGGCCCAGACUCCUACGGGAGGCAGCAGUGGGGAAUAUUGCACAAUGGGCGGAAGCCUGAUGCAGCAACGCCGCGUGCGGGAUGACGGCCUUCGGGUUGUAAGCCGCUUUCGCCUGUGACGAAGCGUGAGUGACGGUAAUGGGUAAAGAAGCACCGGCUAACUACGUG
rnacentral:rRNA from 1 species